CAUCUACUGAGGAGUCCCACAAUAGGACGAGACGGCCGUCCAGUGC
rnacentral:hammerhead_ribozyme from 1 species